rnacentral:sRNA from 1 species
AUUUAGCUGAAGUAGGACGAAGCGGUAUGAGAUAAGAGGUCUC